rnacentral:RNase_P_RNA from 1 species
CGAGUUGGUCGGGCGGCCGCGGCGCUGGGAACGGGCACGGUCGUGCCGCCGCCCGGCGCCGAGGAAAGUCCGGACUCCACAGAGCAGGGCGGUUGCUAACGGCAACCCGGGGUGACCCGCGGGACAGUGCCACAGAAAACAGACCGCCCACGGCCUUCGCGGGCCGUGCGGUGAGGGUGAAACGGUGCGGUAAGAGCGCACCAGCGCCCCGGGUGACCGGGGUGGCUAGGUAAACCCCGCCCGGAGCAAGGUCGAAGGUCGCACCGCUCGCGGUGCGGCUGCGCAGGCGCUCGAGGGCUGCUCGCCCGAGCCUGCGGGUGGACCGCUCGAGGCACCCGGCAACGGAGUGCCCAGAUGGAUGGUCGCCCCCUGGCCACACGGCCGGGGACAGGAUCCGGCUUACAGACCAACUCGUCCG